rnacentral:rRNA from 1 species
GGGUUGUGAGGUUAAGCGACUAAGCGUACACGGUGGAUGCCCCGCAGUCAGAGGCGAUGAAGGACGUGCUAAUCUGCGAUAAGCGUCGGUGAGGUGAUAUGAACCGUUAUAACCGGCGAUUUCCGAAUGGGGAAACCCAGUGUGUUUCGACACACUAUCAUUAACUGAAUCCAUAGGUUAAUGAGGCGAACCGGGGGAACUGAAACAUCUAAGUACCCCGAGGAAAAGAAAUCAACCGAGAUUCCCCCAGUAGCGGCGAGCGAACGGGGAGGAGCCCAGAGCCUGAAUCAGUGUGUGUGUUAGUGGAAGCGUCUGGAAAGGCGCGCGAUACAGGGUGACAGCCCCGUACACAAAAAUGCACAUAUUGUGAGCUCGAUGAGUAGGGCGGGACACGUGGUAUCCUGUCUGAAUAUGGGGGGACCAUCCUCCAAGGCUAAAUACUCCUGACUGACCGAUAGUGAACCAGUACCGUGAGGGAAAGGCGAAAAGAACCCCGGCGAGGGGAGUGAAAAAGAACCUGAAACCGUGUACGUACAAGCAGUGGGAGCCUCUUAAUGGGGUGACUGCGUACCUUUUGUAUAAUGGGUCAGCGACUUAUAUUCUGUAGCAAGGUUAACCGAAUAGGGGAGCCGAAGGGAAACGAGUCUUAACUGGGCGUUAAGUUGCAGGGUAUAGACCCGAAACCCGGUGAUCUAGCCAUGGGCAGGUUGAAGGUUGGGUAACACUAACUGGAGGACCGAACCGACUAAUGUUGAAAAAUUAGCGGAUGACUUGUGGCUGGGGGUGAAAGGCCAAUCAAACCGGGAGAUAGCUGGUUCUCCCCGAAAGCUAUUUAGGUAGCGCCUCGUGAAUUCAUCUCCGGGGGUAGAGCACUGUUUCGGCAAGGGGGUCAUCCCGACUUACCAACCCGAUGCAAACUGCGAAUACCGGAGAAUGUUAUCACGGGAGACACACGGCGGGUGCUAACGUCCGUCGUGAAGAGGGAAACAACCCAGACCGCCAGCUAAGGUCCCAAAGUCAUGGUUAAGUGGGAAACGAUGUGGGAAGGCCCAGACAGCCAGGAUGUUGGCUUAGAAGCAGCCAUCAUUUAAAGAAAGCGUAAUAGCUCACUGGUCGAGUCGGCCUGCGCGGAAGAUGUAACGGGGCUAAACCAUGCACCGAAGCUGCGGCAGCGACACUAUGUGUUGUUGGGUAGGGGAGCGUUCUGUAAGCCUGUGAAGGUGUACUGUGAGGUAUGCUGGAGGUAUCAGAAGUGCGAAUGCUGACAUAAGUAACGAUAAAGCGGGUGAAAAGCCCGCUCGCCGGAAGACCAAGGGUUCCUGUCCAACGUUAAUCGGGGCAGGGUGAGUCGACCCCUAAGGCGAGGCCGAAAGGCGUAGUCGAUGGGAAACAGGUUAAUAUUCCUGUACUUGGUGUUACUGCGAAGGGGGGACGGAGAAGGCUAUGUUGGCCGGGCGACGGUUGUCCCGGUUUAAGCGUGUAGGCUGGUUUUCCAGGCAAAUCCGGAAAAUCAAGGCUGAGGCGUGAUGACGAGGCACUACGGUGCUGAAGCGACAAAUGCCCUGCUUCCGGGGAAAGCCUCUAAGCAUCAGGUAACAUCAAAUCGUACCCCAAACCGACACAGGUGGUCAGGUAGAGAAUACCAAGGCGCUUGAGAGAACUCGGGUGAAGGAACUAGGCAAAAUGGUGCCGUAACUUCGGGAGAAGGCACGCUGAUAUGUAGGUGAAGCGACUUGCUCGUGGAGCUGAAAUCAGUCGAAGAUACCAGCUGGCUGCAACUGUUUAUUAAAAAACACAGCACUGUGCAAACACGAAAGUGGACGUAUACGGUGUGACGCCUGCCCGGUGCCGGAAGGUUAAUUGAUGGGGUUAGCGGUAACGCGAAGCUCUUGAUCGAAGCCCCGGUAAACGGCGGCCGUAACUAUAACGGUCCUAAGGUAGCGAAAUUCCUUGUCGGGUAAGUUCCGACCUGCACGAAUGGCGUAAUGAUGGCGGGCUGUCUCCACCCGAGACUCAGUGAAAUUGAACUCGCUGUGAAGAUGCAGUGUACCCGCGGCAAGACGGAAAGACCCCGUGAACCUUUACUAUAGCUUGACACUGAACAUUGAGCCUUGAUGUGUAGGAUAGGUGGGAGGCUUUGAAGUGUGGACGCCAGUCUGCAUGGAGCCGACCUUGAAAUACCACCCUUUAAUGUUUGAUGUUCUAACGUGGGCCCCUUACCGGGGUUGCGGACAGUGUCUGGUGGGUAGUUUGACUGGGGCGGUCUCCUCCUAAAGAGUAACGGAGGAGCACGAAGGUUGGCUAAUCCUGGUCGGACAUCAGGAGGUUAGUGCAAUGGCAUAAGCCAGCUUGACUGCGAGCGUGACGGCGCGAGCAGGUGCGAAAGCAGGUCAUAGUGAUCCGGUGGUUCUGAAUGGAAGGGCCAUCGCUCAACGGAUAAAAGGUACUCCGGGGAUAACAGGCUGAUACCGCCCAAGAGUUCAUAUCGACGGCGGUGUUUGGCACCUCGAUGUCGGCUCAUCACAUCCACGGGGCUGAAGUAGGUCCCAAGGGUAUGGCUGUUCGCCAUUUAAAGUGGUACGCGAGCUGGGUUUAGAACGUCGUGAGACAGUUCGGUCCCUAUCUGCCGUGGGCGCUGGAGAACUGAGGGGCUGCUCCUAGUACGAGAGGACCGGAGUGGACGCAUCACUGGUGUUCGGGUUGUCAUGCCAAUGGCACUGCCCGGUAGCUAAAUGCGGAAGAGAUAAGUGCUGAAAGCAUCUAAGCACGAAACUUGCCCCGAGAUGAGUUCUCCUGACUCCUUGAGAGUCCUGAAGGAACGUUGAAGACGACGACGUUGAUAGGCCGGGUGUGUAAGCGCAGCGAUGCGUUGAGCUAACCGGUACUAAUGAACCGUGAGGCUUAACCUUACAACGCCGAAG